GACGAACGCUGGCGGCGUGCCUAAUACAUGCAAGUAGAACGCUGAAGGAGGAGCUUGCUCUUCUGGAUGAGUUGCGAACGGGUGAGUAACGCGUAGGUAACCUGCCUGGUAGCGGGGGAUAACUAUUGGAAACGAUAGCUAAUACCGCAUAAGAGUAGAUGUUGCAUGACAUUUACUUAAAAGGUGCAAUUGCAUCACUACCAGAUGGACCUGCGUUGUAUUAGCUAGUUGGUGGGGUAACGGCUUACCAAGGCGACGAUACAUAGCCGACCUGAGAGGGUGAUCGGCCACACUGGGACUGAGACACGGCCCAGACUCCUACGGGAGGCAGCAGUAGGGAAUCUUCGGCAAUGGACGGAAGUCUGACCGAGCAACGCCGCGUGAGUGAAGAAGGUUUUCGGAUCGUAAAGCUCUGUUGUAGGAGAAGAACGAGUGUGAGAGUGGAAAGUUCACACUGUGACGGUAUCUUACCAGAAAGGGACGGCUAACUACGUG
rnacentral:rRNA from 1 species